rnacentral:misc_RNA from 1 species
GAAAUGCGAUAAAUAAUAUGAAUUGCAGAAUUCAGCGAAUCAUCGAGUUUUUGAACGCACAUUGCGCCCUCUGGUAUUCCGGAGGGCAUGUCCGACCGAGCGUCGCGUCACCGCUCAGGCUUUCGAGCUUGGUGUUGGGGUUCGCAGGUGCCCUAGCGCCCCGCGUCCUUCAAAUGCAGUGGCGGUCCCUCCGUGGGCUUCUCCCUAGCGCAGUAGAGCAUUCAGCUGUCGUUUCGGAGCCCGGAGGCGGUCUGCCGUUAAAACCCCGAUGGCGGUAGCUUCGGCUACCUCCUUCCUCAUGGUUGGCCUCGGGUCGGACAAGAUUACCCGCUGAACUUAA